rnacentral:lncRNA from 1 species
GAGAGUGACAAUUGGAGCCAUACUAAUAGUGGAGCGGUAACCUUACACUGUAACAAAACGAGUAGCCAUUUCGUUGGGCGCGCAAGUACGGGGCGCUAGGAGCAACAACAAGAAACUCACUCCGAAGGACAACCGAAUGACGGCCUUCUUUCGCAUGACACUUGACUCCCUGGGGUUAAGGGCAUUUAGAGGUCUUCGAAGGAAGGGUAGGAAGACAGAGCAGCAGCCCAUAGGGAACAAGGCUAGGGAAGUCACCUUAAUAGGGCCCAAGUCGACCUCGAUCCCAGACAAGAAUGCCUAGAGAGGCCCAGACGAGCUGUGAGAAAUCCCGAGCCUCCCCUCCAUCCUGGGAGACAUUACCUUCUUCCAUCUCAUCCUCUUAAUCUUAAAAACUCGGCGAGUGGCCGUCGCAAAAAGCCCCUCAUCCUACAGAUCAAUCUCCAUCUGCUCUUUCAACAUUUGCUAUUCCUCAUGAAAUAGCGAUAAGAGGGAGAAGACCCCUUCCUCUGAGGGAAAAUACCUUUUCUUUCAGGUUAUUGAUUGACCUUAAUUUUUUGAGCCGGUGGCCCUGCCCUGAUUCAAUCUCGAUUGCAACAUCCAAUUUUCCCUUUUUCUUCCUUAUCGUCGAGAUUUUCUAGAGUAAAGAUUUCUCACUCUCCAUCCUCUUAGUCAUCUU